GUAUGUAUUAGCAGGUGUUGUAUGUAUUAGCAGGUGUUGUAUGUAUUAGCAGGUGUUGUAUGUAUUAGCAGGUGUUGUAUGUAUUAGCAGGUGUUGUAUGUAUUAGCAGGUGCUGUAUGUAUUAGCAGGUGUUGUAUGUAUUAGCAGGUGUUGUAUGUAUUAGCAGGUGUUGUAUGUAUUAGCAGGUGUUGUAUGUAUUAGCAGGUGUUGUAUGUAUUAGCAGGUGUUGUAUGUAUUAGCUGGUGUUGUAUGUAUUAGCAGGUGUUGUAUGUAUUAGCAGGUGUUGUAUGUAUUAGCAGGUGUUGUAUGUAUUAGCAGGUGUUGUAUGUAUUAGCAGGUGUUGUAUGUAUUAGCAGGUGUUGUAUGUAUUAGCAGGUGUUGUAUGUAUUAGCAGGUGUUGUAUGUAUUAGCAGGUGUUGUAUGUAUUAGCUGGUGUUGUAUGUAUUAGCAGGUGUUGUAUGUAUUAGCAGGUGUUGUAUGUAUUAGCUGGUGUUGUAUGUAUUAGCAGGUGUUGUAUGUAUUAGCAGGUGUUGUAUGUAUUAGCAGGUGCUGUAUGUAUUAGCAGGUGUUGUAUGUAUUAGCAGGUGUUGUAUGUAUUAGCAGGUGUUGUAUGUAUUAGCAGGUGUUGUAUGUAUUAGCAGGUGUUGUAUGUAUUAGCAGGUGUUGUAUGUAUUAGCAGGUGUUGUAUGUAUUAGCAGGUGUUGUAUGUAUUAGCAGGUGUUGUAUGUAUUAGCAGGUGCUGUAUGUAUUAGCAGGUGUUGUAUGUAUUAGCAGGUGUUGUAUGUAUUAGCAGGUGUUGUAUGUAUUAGCAGGUGUUGUAUGUAUUAGCAGGUGUUGUAUGUAUUAGCAGGUGUUGUAUGUAUUAGCAGGUGUUGUAUGUAUUAGCAGGUGUUGUAUGUAUUAGCAGGUGUUGUAUGUAUUAGCUGGUGUUGUAUGUAUUAGCAGGUGUUGUAUGUAUUAGCAGGUGUUGUAUGUAUUAGCAGGUGUUGUAUGUAUUAGCAGGUGCUGUAUGUAUUAGCAGGUGUUGUAUGUAUUAGCAGGUGUUGUAUGUAUUAGCAGGUGUUGUAUGUAUUAGCAGGUGUUGUAUGUAUUAGCAGGUGUUGUAUGUAUUAGCAGGUGUUGUAUGUAUUAGCAGGUGUUGUAUGUAUUAGCAGGUGUUGUAUGUAUUAGCAGGUGUUGUAUGUAUUAGCAGGUGUUGUAUGUAUUAGCAGGUGUUGUAUGUAUUAGCAGGUGUUGUAUGUAUUAGCAGGUGUUGUAUGUAUUAGCAGGUGUUGUAUGUAUUAGCAGGUGUUGUAUGUAUUAGCAGGUGUUGUAUGUAUUAGCUGGUGUUGUAUGUAUUAGCAGGUGCUGUAUGUAUUAUCUGGUGUUGUAUGUAUUAGCAGGUGUUGUAUGUAUUAGCAGGUGUUGUAUGUAUUAGCAGGUGUUGUAUGUAUUAGCAGGUGUUGUAUGUAUUAGCAGGUGUUGUAUGUAUUAGCAGGUGUUGUAUGUAUUAGCAGGUGUUGUAUGUAUUAGCAGGUGUUGUAUGUAUUAGCAGGUGUUGUAUGUAUUAGCAGGUGUUGUAUGUAUUAGCAGGUGUUGUAUGUAUUAGCAGGUGUUGUAUGUAUUAGCAGGUGUUGUAUGUAUUAGCAGGUGUUGUAUGUAUUAGCAGGUGUUGUAUGUAUUAGCAGGUGUUGUAUGUAUUAGCAGGUGUUGUAUGUAUUAGCAGGUGUUGUAUGUAUUAGCUGGUGUUGUAUGUAUUAGCAGGUGUUGUAUGUAUUAGCAGGUGUUGUAUGUAUUAGCAGGUGCUGUAUGUAUUAGCAGGUGUUGUAUGUAUUAGCAGGUGUUGUAUGUAUUAGCAGGUGUUGUAUGUAUUAGCUGGUGUUGUAUGUAUUAGCAGGUGUUGUAUGUAUUAGCAGGUGUUGUAUGUAUUAGCAGGUGUUGUAUGUAUUAGCAGGUGUUGUAUGUAUUAGCAGGUGUUGUAUGUAUUAGCAGGUGUUGUAUGUAUUAGCAGGUGUUGUAUGUAUUAGCUGGUGUUGUAUGUAUUAGCAGGGUUUGUAUGUAUUAGCAGGUGUUGUAUUUAUUAGCUGGUCCUUUGGGGGUUAAUAAAGUAUUAUUUAAUCCUAGGUGUUCCACGCUCUGCCACCUUGGGACGAGAAAGAGGAGACGCUGGCUCACUACGCCCACCGCUGCAGGCAGGCCAUGGACGACACCAUCAGAGCCAAGAUCAAAACCAUGAAAACCAAGGGAGACCUGCUGCCCAUAGUCAGCAAAUGACCCCAGAGACGGAAGGUGUGUCCUCGGGAUGCCUGUAGGACAAACCAGACCAACACCAUCUGCGGUAGAUUACCUGCUCGGUGUUUUAACAUGUAGAAUGGUCAGGAAAUGAACAGAAAAUGGGGGCCGAUGUUCUGUGGUCAAAGGCGAUGGGACGGCUGUGUACGGCCUACGUUCUUCGUGUUGGUCUGUCUUGUCCUUGUGAUAAAAGCCUGGUCCACAGAUCUGUUUGUGUCGUCGUGCCAAGUUGGAAAGACGACACAAACAGGUCUGGGACCAGGCUUGCCCUCUGAUCCCCAGUGAUGCUCGACUGCCAUUUCAAAAAAAGUGAAAUGUUGUUAUUGCUCCAUUGCAUUUGUCUGCCCACCCCCACUAUGACCUUAACCCAGCAAUGAUGACAGACACCAUGACUAUCAUUAAAAAACACAUUGUAGUGCACCAAUGUUUGAUUUACUGUAAUGUGUAACAUUUAUUUAGUCUUUUGAACGAUGCGCUAAUGCUUUGAAGUGUUUUUAGUAGUGGAGAACAACAUUAGAAAAUAUUAUUCAAAUAAGGAUCUUAUUUUUGUCAAGAGAUUUUCCGGUACUUUUGGUGGUCUAUGUAAUUGUUUUUAAAGAGAUUCUCCAGUA